rnacentral:ncRNA from 1 species
GUGUGGUAUAAAAGGAGAGAAGGUUAGCACUCCCCGUGACAAGGAUGGAAGAGGCCCUCGGGCCUGACCACAUGCAUAUGGUUAAGGCACUGCCACCUGCUUCGUGACAUCUAACCACUGUUUUAA